UACGUAGGGGGCAAGCGUUAUCCGGAUUUACUGGGUGUAAAGGGGGCGCAGACGGCAGCGCAAGCCAGGAGUGAAAGCCCGGGGCCCAACCCCGGGACUGCUCUUGGAACUGCGCGGCUGGAGUGCAGGAGGGGCAGGCGGAAUUCCUGGUGUAGCGGUGAGAUGCGUAGAUAUCAGGAGGAACACCGGUGGCGAAGGCGGCCUGCUGGACUGCGACUGACGUUGAGGCCCGAAAGCGUGGGGAGCAAACAGG
rnacentral:rRNA from 1 species